AUGUGUUUUUAUUUAUACCAAAGUCAACUUCGGGACGUGCUCUUCCAGAACGGAGUUCCUCCUUUUAACCCGUCGUUGGCUAUUCUUUCUCCCACAAGCAUCAUUAGCACCACUGCCCCACCCAUCGAGCCUAAGCUAACAAUGGAGGCGACUGGUCUGAGCGUAGGGAAGUCUGUGCUGAAUGGAGCGCUCGGCUACGCCAAAUCCGCGCUGGCGGAGGAGGUGGCGUUGCAGCUCGGAGUCCGCCGCGACCAGGCGUUCAUUACUGAUGAGCUGGAGAUGAUGCAGGGUUUCCUCAUGACUGCACACGAGGAGCGAGACGACAACAUGGUGGUCAAGAUCUGGGUGAAGCAAGUCCGCGACGUUGCCUAUAACGUCGAGGACUGCCUCCAGGAUUUCGCCGUUCGUCUAGACAAGCAGUCUUGGUGGCGCCUCCCUCUGACGCUGCUAGACCGCCGGCGCGUCGCCAAGGAGAUGAAGGAGCUUCGGGCCAAAGUCGAAGAUGUCAGCCAGAGGAACGUGCGCUACAAUCUCAUCAAUACCACGGGCUCCAGGCCCGCUGCCCCUGGUAGGCAGCCCAGCAUCGCAGGUACAACAAUGCUUGGCAUUCAGGACGCAACGAAGCAGGAAAAAUCAAAGGUGGAUCUUGUCCAGCUGAUAAACAAGAAGGGCACCGACCUAAGGGUGAUCACAGUGGGCGGAAAAGGUGCUGAUCUUGGGCAGACACCGAUCAUAUGGGCAGCUUACGAGGAUCCAGAGAUCAAAAACAAUUUUCCGUGCCGAGCAUGGGUGAGGUUGAUGCAUCCUUUCAGUCCAGAAGACUUCGUUCAAAGUUUAGUGGAGCAGUUUCACACAUCAGUAGGGGUUGACAUUCUGCUGGAAACGAAAAAGAUGGGGCAAGAGUUAGCUGAGGAAUUCAAUGGAUAUGUCAAUGCCAAGAAGUUCCUGAUUGUGCUUAAUGACUUAUCAACCAUUGAAGAGUGGAAUCGGAUUAAGAGGUGCUUCCCAAACAAUAAGAAAGGGAGCCUGAUAAUAGUGUCCACAAGGCAAGUUGAAGUUGCAAGCUUAUGUGCAGGACAAGAAAGCAUAGUAUCUGAGCUCAAGCAAUCGUCUAUUGAUCAGAAUAUUUAUGCUUUCUAUGAGAAGGGUUCUCAAGAUGGAACAGAUUUAACGAUGGUUGCCGGGCCUAGCUCAAAAAGUGCAGUCACCAAUGGUACAGACCAAUCUCAGGGUGCUGAUUGGAAUCAUGCGAUGAGAAAGAGCUUCAGUUGCGCUAUGUCCAUGACAACUGCUCUAGAGGAAUCACAUCUUGUUGGUCGAGACAAAGAAAUGAAAAAGAUCAGAGAUCUUAUUUUUGCUGAAGCUGGUGAACAACUUGAGGUGAUCUCUGUGUGGGGAAUGGGUGGUCUUGGGAAAACCACACUGGUCGGAGAUGUCUAUCAGCAGAUCAAUUGCAAGUUUGAUAAGCAUGCUUGUGUCACAAUCAUGCGACCUUUCAUUCUUGAGGAGCUCUUUGGGAGCUUAUUUAUGCAACUAGAUGCAGAAUCUUCUGAAAAGAAGGAUGUGGUGGGUUUGUUGGGCAAUGCAAAGAAAGCAUCACCACCGAUGUCUCUUGCAGAGUUGGUUAAUGAGUUGGCCAAGCUUAUAGAAAAAAAGAGGUCCUUGAUUGUUCUUGAUGAUGUGUCAUCUACUGCAGAAUGGGACCUGAUAGUGCGAAAAUUCCCUAAAAUGACAAACGGAAGCCGGAUCAUAGUCACUACAAGGGAAGAGAAUAUUGCUAACCUUUGUUCAGUGAAAAAGGAAAACAUAUAUAAGCUUGAAGCUCUGAAAGACAGUGAUGCGCGUGUCCUCUUCACGAAAAAGGUAUUUAAAGAGACUGCAUAUCUGGAUGAAAAGCAUCCUGAGCUGAUUGAACAAGCAGAACUGAUCCUUAAGAAGUGCAGUGGACUUCCUCUUGCAAUAGUCACUAUAGGUGGGUUCUUGGCAAACCAACCACAAACAGUGGUGGAGUGGAGGAGAUUGAAUGAGCAUAUUAGUGCUGAGUUGGAGAUAAAUCCAAAGCUUGGGACCAUAUUAGCUGUGCUUACUAAAAGUUAUGAUGGUUUACCUUAUCACCUGAAAUCUUGUUUCUUGUAUCUCCCCAUCUUUCCCGAAGACUACAAGGUUAGUCGGCGGCGUUUGGUGCGGAGGUGGACGGCAGAGGGUUACUCAAGGGAGGUACGUGGUAAGUCUGCAGAGGGAAUAGCAGACAAUUACUUCAUGGAACUUAUAAGUAGGAGCAUGAUCUUGCCAUACCAACAAUCAAUUCGCAGUAGAAAAGGAAUUGACGCUUGCCAUGUCCAUGAUCUCAUGCGUGAAAUUGGCAUUUCCAAGUCAAUGGAAGAAAAUCUAGUGUUUAGGCUGGAGGAAGGUUGUAGCCUGAACACCCAGCACGUUGUGCGUCACCUUGCAAUAAGCAGCAAUUGGGAGGGAAAUCAGAGUGAUCUGGAGAGCAUAAUAGAUAUGUCUCGUGUACGGUCAAUAACAGUUUUUGGAAAGUGGAAGUCAUUUUACAUUUCUGAUAAGAUAAGGCUGCUCCGAGUGCUGGACUUGGAAGGUACCUCAGGUGUAUUUGAUCAUCACCUUGAGGACAUUGUCAAGCUUUUUCACCUAAAAUACCUUUCUUUAAGAGGAUGCACUCCUAUUUGUCACCUGCCAGAUUCUCUAGGCAACCUAAAACAACUUGAGACACUAGACUUGAGAGGUACACAGAUAGUCAAGCUACCACAUAGCAUCAGAAAACUUCGGAAGCUAAACUAUCUUCGUGCUGGUAAGGAACCCAUGGACGAGGACAUCUCGUAUGAACAAGUUGUAGAAGACUUGCCAGCGGUGAUGAGGAACAGUGCAUGCCUUUUGACUGCCUCGUCGAUGGUACUUUGUGCACGUUGUUUUGCAGGCUCAGAUUUUAACGGUUAUAACCACCGUGACUUGUGCAGUGCCUUCUGUUGUGUGGCACUCCCUGUUGUUGCGAUGAAGCUGGACGCACAUGGUGUGGUAGUGCCAAGAGGGGUGAGAAAACUGAAAGCCCUACACACACUAGGUGUUGUGAACAUCUCACGGGGGAGGAUCAUUCUUCAGAACAUAAGAAGACUCAGUGGGCUGCGGAAGCUAGGAGUGACUGGCAUCAACAAGAGAAACAGUCUGGAGUUACAAUCAACAGUUUCUCAACUCAGUCGCCUGGAAUCCUUGUCGAUGCGCUCAGAAGGGAUGCCUGGAUUAUCUGGCUGCUUGGAUGACAUGCCCACUCCUCCAGAAAACCUGCAGAGCCUUAAACUGUAUGGCAAUUUGGUCAUAUUGCCUGCAUGGAUCCAGACACUCGGAAAUCUUGUGAAGCUGAAGCUACGCAACUCUAGGAUAUUGGACCACAGAACAGCCAUACAAGUCCUCGGGGAGCUGCCGAUGCUAGCCAUCCUGUGUCUAUGGACGAAGUCGUUCGAAGGAGAGGUCCAUUUCAGUUUCGAUCAACGGGCAUUUCCGAGCCUGGUGGUGCUGCACCUGGAUCACCUAGAUGGCCUCAAAUCGCUGGAUUUUUCACUGCGAGGGACACCUAAGCUUGAGGUAUUGCAGCUUUCUGAGACCUAUAUCCAGGAACGUUGUAGCGGGCUUCAACACCUCCCAAUGCUCAAGGAAGUUGUGCUCAAGGGAGACUACCCAUGCGUCGAGAAAUUGCGUGCCGACCUUGCCAAGUUCCCCAAUCGACCCGUUGUCAAGUUGAACUGA
rnacentral:rRNA from 1 species